AUGAGACGAGGCCGACUUAUUUCUCAGAUGAAUAACCAUACAUCAGAUUUCUUAUCACACCUUCUAUUUAAGAAUAAGACAACUUUCUUCUUUGUACUUAUGGAGGGUGUGGUAAGGAUGGAAUCUGAAAUUCAAGCACCUGGCAGUGCUCGUGUGAGUGGGUCGCCAUGGGAGGAACGAAUUUUGCCUAGUUCGUCUUGUAGAGAUGGGAUUUGGAAUGAGAGUGCGAGUUCAAACUCCAUGAUCGGCAGUGGUGAAAGGGUAUGGCACGUGAGUUUCCUCCAGGUACUCUGGUUUCCUCCCACAUCAUGACCCCCCUAACACCAACAUCCAUGCAUUAAAGGACCCCAUUGGAAAUAAGCUUUCAAGGGUUAUCCUUGGUAUUUAUGUAUGGAUAAAUAAACAUUUAUUCUAAUGUAUGUUUUUGAAUACACAUGCAUCUAUAUAUCAAUUGGGUUUAUCUAGUAUCAUAUCUAUUUGCCAUUGACGCUCUACAUUGUAUACAUACCAAAUUUUAUGUGCCCAUAUUUCACAAACUUGUUGAUGAUCAGAGUAAUUAUUAACCCAAAUACUCGCGAAUUAUACAGAGUGAUGUACAAAACCCAGGUCUGAGCAAGAACUAUGGACAGGAAAAAAACAUAAAUGGAUGACGAUGGCAGAUUGUCUUGGAUGUCUCGAAUGAAAGAGUCAUCUUCAUUCGUUUUGUUCAUGGCAGUUUCCUGCAGAUUAACUUGGUCGAUUUCCAUGACGAUGCUAUUCAGUGUUGUUUUCCUUGUGAGUAUUACUUUCUAUUGUGUGUACACAUAACUUUCCACUUUAAACACCUCCAAACCGCAACAACUGCGCACUGUGGUCACAUACUGCAUUUGCCGACGCAAUUCGUUUCAUUCUAUCAUGUCUACUGGCCGGUGGAAUGUAAAGUUGCAGUAAGUUUGAAAAGUUCUGUGCAGCACACAUAAUUUUCAUGUUGCUGCAUACCCUAAUGAAUUUUACACAUUUUCACAUCACGUAUUGACGUUUACUUCAAGUUGUACACAGAAGUUCAGGAAACGUCUUACAUCGAUCUAUUUGAGUAAUCAAACCGGAAAU